rnacentral:rRNA from 1 species
AACCGGGAGUUGAUCGGGCUCGGCCCGAUCCUCCCACCCUUUGUGUACCUACCUCUGUUGCUUUGGCGGGCCGCGGUCCUCCGCGGCCGCCCCCCUCCCCGGGGGGGUGGCCAGCGCCCGCCAGAGGACCAUCAAACUCCAGUCAGUAAACGAUGCAGUCUGAAAAACAUUUAAUAAACUAAAACUUUCAACAACGGAUCUCUUGGUUCUGGCAUCGAUGAAGAACGCAGCGAAAUGCGAUAAGUAAUGUGAAUUGCAGAAUUCAGUGAAUCAUCGAAUCUUUGAACGCACAUUGCGCCCUUUGGUAUUCCGAAGGGCAUGCCUGUUCGAGCGUCAUUACAACCCUCAAGCUCUGCUUGGUAUUGGGCACCGUCCUUUGCGGGCGCGCCUCAAAGACCUCGGCGGUGGCGUCUUGCCUCAAGCGUAGUAGAACAUACAUCUCGCUUCGGAGCGCAGGGCGUCGCCCGCCGGACGAACCUUCUGAACUUUUCUCAAGGUUGACCUCGGAUCAGGUAGGGAUACCCGCUGAACUUAAGCAUAUCAAUAAGCGGAGGAA